AACGCCUGUUGUGGAUCUCUCCCAUCCCCUGGAGCAGAUCUCGGAACGGGGACUCCUCCCCAAGUGCCCGUUCCCCGGCCCCGUUGACCUCCCCCUGGUCAGCGGGGCUUUUUA
rnacentral:sRNA from 23 species